rnacentral:rRNA from 1 species
UACGUAGGUGGCAAGCGUUGUCCGGAAUUAUUGGGCGUAAAGCGCGCGCAGGCGGUCCUUUAAGUCUGAUGUGAAAGCCCACGGCUCAACCGUGGAGGGUCAUUGGAAACUGGGGGACCUGAGUACAGAAGAGAAGAGUGGAAUUCCACGUGUAGCGGUGAAAUGCGUAGAGAUGUGGAGGAACACCAGUGGCGAAGGCGGCUUCCUGGUCUGCAACUGACACUGAGGCGCGAAAGCGUGGGGAGCAAACAGG